rnacentral:ncRNA from 1 species
GGUUAAGUGAAUAAGGGCGCACGGUGGAUGCCUUGGCAUUAGGAGCCGAUGAAGGACGGGACUAACACCGAUAUGCUUUGGGGAGCUGUAAGUGAGCUAUGAUCCAGAGAUUUCCGAAUGGGGGAACCCAGCAUCUUUUAUAGGAUGUUACUUUCCAGUGAAUACAUAGCUGGUUAGAGGUAGACGCAGAGAACUGAAACAUCUAAGUACCUGCAGGAAGAGAAAGAAAAUUCGAUUCCCUGAGUAGCGGCGAGCGAAACGGGAAGAGCCCAAACCAACAAGCUUGCUUGUUGGGGUUGUAGGACUCCAAUAUGGUAGUCUGUCAGGAUAGUCAAAGGACUUGGAAAGGUCCGCCAAAGUGGGUAAUAGCCCCGUAGACGAAAUUGUGACAGCACCUAGGAGGAUCCUGAGUACGGCGGAACACGAGAAAUUCCGUCGGAAUCCGCGGGGACCAUCCCGUAAGGCUAAAUACUCCCUAAUGACCGAUAGUGAACCAGUACCGUGAGGGAAAGGUGAAAAGCACCCCGGAAGGGGAGUGAAAUAGAUCCUGAAACCGUGUGCCUACAACAAGUUCGAGCCCGUUAAUGGGUGAGAGCGUGCCUUUUGUAGAAUGAACCGGCGAGUUACGAUUGCAUGCGAGGUUAAGGUGAAGAGCCGGAGCCGCAGCGAAAGCGAGUCUGAAUAGGGCGAAUGAGUAUGUAGUCGUAGACCCGAAACCAUGUGAUCUACCCAUGGCCAGGUUGAAGGUGUGGUAAAACGCACUGGAGGACCGAACCCACGUACGUUGAAAAGUGCGGGGAUGAGCUGUGGGUAGCGGAGAAAUUCCAAACGAACUUGGAGAUAGCUGGUUCUCUCCGAAAUAGCUUUAGGGCUAGCGUCGAAGUUGAGAAUGAUGGAGGUAGAGCACUGUUUGGACUAGGGGCCCAUCUCGGGUUACCGAAUUCAGAUAAACUCCGAAUGCCAUUCAUUCAUAUUCGGCAGUCAGACUGCGAGUGAUAAGAUCCGUAGUCGAAAGGGAAACAGCCCAGACCACCAGCUAAGGUCCCAAAAUAACUAUUAAGUGGAAAAGGAUGUGGGGUUGCACAGACAACUAGGAUGUUGGCUUAGAAGCAGCCACCAUUUAAAGAGUGCGUAAUAGCUCACUAGUCGAGUGACCCUGCGCCGAAAAUGUACCGGGGCUAAAUAGUUUACCGAAGCUGUGGAUCACACCUCUGGUGUGAUGGUAGGAGAGCGUUCUAAGGGCGUUGAAGGUCGAUCGUGAGGACGGCUGGAGCGCUUAGAAGUGAGAAUGCCGGUAUGAGUAGCGAAAGACGGGUGAGAAUCCCGUCCACCGUAUGACUAAGGUUUCCUGGGGAAGGCUCGUCCGCCCAGGGUUAGUCGGGACCUAAGCCGAGGCCGAUAGGCGUAGGCGAUGGACAACAGGUUGAUAUUCCUGUACCAGUUGUUUUUGUUUGAACAAUGGAGGGACGCAGGAGGCUAAGGAAUGCAUGCGACUGGAAGUGCAUGUCCAAGCAGUAAGUCUUGAGUAGAGUCAAAUGCUUUACUCUAUACGGACAAGCUGUGAUGGGGAGGGAAAUAAUAGUACCGAAGUUCCUGAUGUCACACUGUCAAGAAAAGCUUCUAGUGAGAAAACAACUGCCCGUACCGUAAACCGACACAGGUAGUCGAGGAGAGUAUCCUAAGGUGAGCGAGCGAACUCUCGUUAAGGAACUCGGCAAAAUGACCCCGUAACUUCGGGAGAAGGGGUGCUGACUUCGGUCAGCCGCAGUGAAUAGGCCCA